AAACAUUGUUUAUAAAAAUUAUUGUAAAUACAACCUGCUCAAUGAAAAAUUUUAAAUAGCUGCAAUCUUUGUACUAAGGUAGCAUAAUCAUUUGUUUUUUAAUUUUAAACUAGAAUGAAAGGUAAAACAAAUCAUUUCUUUAUUUUUUAUUUUAUUUUAACUUAUAUUAAAUAUAAAAAUAUAUUUUUUCAAAAAAAAGACGACAAGACCCUAUUGAACUUCACUUUAGUUUAGCUGGGGAAGCUAAAUAAUAAAUAUUUUAUUAUAAAUUUUAUAAAUGACCCAAAAUAUUUGAUUAACUAAUCAAGUUACCAUAGGGAUAACAGCGCAAUAAAUUUUUUAAGCUCUUAUACAAAAAUUUGCUUACGACCUCGAUGUUGAAUUAGAAAUCUAUAUUAAGCAAAAAUAAUAAAAGUAGGUCUGUUCGACCUUUAAAAUUCUACAUGAUCUGA
rnacentral:rRNA from 1 species